rnacentral:lncRNA from 1 species
CUUUUUUAUUUGAUGUGGAUUUAAAUCAAAUUUGUAGCCGGUAAUUUGAUCUUUCAAUUUAUAAACUUUUCCAGCCGUAAACCGUAGACGACUACUACCAAAAUCAUUUUCAAAAAUAUGCGAUACUGAAAAUAGCGGUGACCUAAUCACGGGCAUUGACCGGUACAACACAUCUUGUCCCUCUUUGGAAUAGUAGGUCACAUCUUCCUUUAAACCAGCA